rnacentral:rRNA from 1 species
UACUCUGACUGUUGCCACAUUACUCUUGUUAGGGAAGAGUAAAUACCUCAAUAACAGAGAAAGACGAGAAGACCCUAGAAAUUUUAUAUAAAGUGUAUUAUAUUUUAUACUAUCAUUUUGUUGGGGCGACAGAAUAACAAAGUAACCUAUUUUAAAUUACACAUGCAAUUUUUAUAAACAAAGUAAAAAUUACUCUAGGGAUAACAGCAUACUUAUUUAAUAAUUUGUGACCUCGAUGUUGGACUAAGGAAUAUUUUAUUCAAAAAAUUAAAUCUCAUGUUCUGUUCCAACAAGUAUCCUUACUUGAACCGAG